rnacentral:tRNA from 1 species
UCCAGAAAUGGAUAUAAGUGGUUAGAGCGUAGGUCUUGUAACCGAAAGGUUGCGGGAUCGAAUCCCGCUGGAG